UACGUAGGGGGCGAGCGUUAUCCGGAUUCAUUGGGCGUAAAGCGCGCGUAGGCGGCCGCCUAAGCGGAACCUCUACCCCCGGGGCUCAACCUCGGGCCGGGUUCCGGACUGGGCGGCUCGAGUGCGGUAGAGGAGAGCGGAAUUCCCGGUGUAGCGGUGGAAUGCGCAGAUAUCGGGAAGAACACCGAUGGCGAAGGCAGCUCUCUGGGCCGUCACUGACGCUGAGGCGCGAAAGCUGGGGGAGCGAACAGG
rnacentral:rRNA from 1 species